rnacentral:rRNA from 1 species
GGGUUGUGAGGUUAAGCGACUAAGCGUACACGGUGGAUGCCCUGGCAGUCAGAGGCGAUGAAGGACGUGCUAAUCUGCGAUAAGCGUCGGUAAGGUGAUAUGAACCGUUAUAACCGGCGAUUUCCGAAUGGGGAAACCCAGUGUGAUUCGUCACACUAUCAUUAACUGAAUCCAUAGGUUAAUGAGGCGAACCGGGGGAACUGAAACAUCUAAGUACCCCGAGGAAAAGAAAUCAACCGAGAUUCCCCCAGUAGCGGCGAGCGAACGGGGAGGAGCCCAGAGCCUGAAUCAGUGUGUGUGUUAGUGGAAGCGUCUGGAAAGGCGCGCGAUACAGGGUGACAGCCCCGUACACAAAAAUGCACAUACUGUGAGCUCGAUGAGUAGGGCGGGACACGUGGUAUCCUGUCUGAAUAUGGGGGGACCAUCCUCCAAGGCUAAAUACUCCUGACUGACCGAUAGUGAACCAGUACCGUGAGGGAAAGGCGAAAAGAACCCCGGCGAGGGGAGUGAAAAAGAACCUGAAACCGUGUACGUACAAGCAGUGGGAGCCUCUUUAUGGGGUGACUGCGUACCUUUUGUAUAAUGGGUCAGCGACUUAUAUUCUGUAGCAAGGUUAACCGAAUAGGGGAGCCGAAGGGAAACCGAGUCUUAACUGGGCGUUAAGUUGCAGGGUAUAGACCCGAAACCCGGUGAUCUAGCCAUGGGCAGGUUGAAGGUUGGGUAACACUAACUGGAGGACCGAACCGACUAAUGUUGAAAAAUUAGCGGAUGACUUGUGGCUGGGGGUGAAAGGCCAAUCAAACCGGGAGAUAGCUGGUUCUCCCCGAAAGCUAUUUAGGUAGCGCCUCGUGAAUUCAUCUCCGGGGGUAGAGCACUGUUUCGGCAAGGGGGUCAUCCCGACUUACCAACCCGAUGCAAACUGCGAAUACCGGAGAAUGUUAUCACGGGAGACACACGGCGGGUGCUAACGUCCGUCGUGAAGAGGGAAACAACCCAGACCGCCAGCUAAGGUCCCAAAGUCAUGGUUAAGUGGGAAACGAUGUGGGAAGGCCCAGACAGCCAGGAUGUUGGCUUAGAAGCAGCCAUCAUUUAAAGAAAGCGUAAUAGCUCACUGGUCGAGUCGGCCUGCGCGGAAGAUGUAACGGGGCUAAACCAUGCACCGAAGCUGCGGCAGCGACGCUUAUGCGUUGUUGGGUAGGGGAGCGUUCUGUAAGCCUGCGAAGGUGUGCUGUGAGGCAUGCUGGAGGUAUCAGAAGUGCGAAUGCUGACAUAAGUAACGAUAAAGCGGGUGAAAAGCCCGCUCGCCGGAAGACCAAGGGUUCCUGUCCAACGUUAAUCGGGGCAGGGUGAGUCGACCCCUAAGGCGAGGCCGAAAGGCGUAGUCGAUGGGAAACAGGUUAAUAUUCCUGUACUUGGUGUUACUGCGAAGGGGGGACGGAGAAGGCUAUGUUGGCCGGGCGACGGUUGUCCCGGUUUAAGCGUGUAGGCUGGUUUUCCAGGCAAAUCCGGAAAAUCAAGGCUGAGGCGUGAUGACGAGGCACUACGGUGCUGAAGCAACAAAUGCCCUGCUUCCAGGAAAAGCCUCUAAGCAUCAGGUAACAACAAAUCGUACCCCAAACCGACACAGGUGGUCAGGUAGAGAAUACCAAGGCGCUUGAGAGAACUCGGGUGAAGGAACUAGGCAAAAUGGUGCCGUAACUUCGGGAGAAGGCACGCUGAUAUGUAGGUGAAGCGACUUGCUCGUGGAGCUGAAAUCAGUCGAAGAUACCAGCUGGCUGCAACUGUUUAUUAAAAACACAGCACUGUGCAAACACGAAAGUGGACGUAUACGGUGUGACGCCUGCCCGGUGCCGGAAGGUUAAUUGAUGGGGUUAGCGCAAGCGAAGCUCUUGAUCGAAGCCCCGGUAAACGGCGGCCGUAACUAUAACGGUCCUAAGGUAGCGAAAUUCCUUGUCGGGUAAGUUCCGACCUGCACGAAUGGCGUAAUGAUGGCCAGGCUGUCUCCACCCGAGACUCAGUGAAAUUGAACUCGCUGUGAAGAUGCAGUGUACCCGCGGCAAGACGGAAAGACCCCGUGAACCUUUACUAUAGCUUGACACUGAACAUUGAGCCUUGAUGUGUAGGAUAGGUGGGAGGCUUUGAAGUGUGGACGCCAGUCUGCAUGGAGCCGACCUUGAAAUACCACCCUUUAAUGUUUGAUGUUCUAACGUUGGCCCGUAAUCCGGGUUGCGGACAGUGUCUGGUGGGUAGUUUGACUGGGGCGGUCUCCUCCUAAAGAGUAACGGAGGAGCACGAAGGUUGGCUAAUCCUGGUCGGACAUCAGGAGGUUAGUGCAAUGGCAUAAGCCAGCUUGACUGCGAGCGUGACGGCGCGAGCAGGUGCGAAAGCAGGUCAUAGUGAUCCGGUGGUUCUGAAUGGAAGGGCCAUCGCUCAACGGAUAAAAGGUACUCCGGGGAUAACAGGCUGAUACCGCCCAAGAGUUCAUAUCGACGGCGGUGUUUGGCACCUCGAUGUCGGCUCAUCACAUCCUGGGGCUGAAGUAGGUCCCAAGGGUAUGGCUGUUCGCCAUUUAAAGUGGUACGCGAGCUGGGUUUAGAACGUCGUGAGACAGUUCGGUCCCUAUCUGCCGUGGGCGCUGGAGAACUGAGGGGGGCUGCUCCUAGUACGAGAGGACCGGAGUGGACGCAUCACUGGUGUUCGGGUUGUCAUGCCAAUGGCACUGCCCGGUAGCUAAAUGCGGAAGAGAUAAGUGCUGAAAGCAUCUAAGCACGAAACUUGCCCCGAGAUGAGUUCUCCCUGACCCUUUAAGGGUCCUGAAGGAACGUUGAAGACGACGACGUUGAUAGGCCGGGUGUGUAAGCGCAGCGAUGCGUUGAGCUAACCGGUACUAAUGAACCGUGAGGCUUAACCUUACAACGCCGAAGGUGUUU